rnacentral:tRNA from 8 species
GGCUGGGUAGCUCAGUUGGUACGAGCGAUCGCCUGAAAAGCGAUAGGUCGCCGGUUCGAUCCCGGCCCCAGCCACAA